UGUACGCCCUUUGGGUUCGUUGGUGUGUUGCGAGUGAAGUGGAUUGACUUGGAUUUUGUACAAACCGCCAGCCAAUGGGAGCCGCAGGACCGAGCUGAGGUCUGUCUCCGUCUCCGUCUCUCACAUUGGAGGGGAGGAUUUCUUUCUCUUUUUUUUUCUCCCUGGGAAACAAAUGUCUCCUGCUACUUUUUUGACGCACAGUCCUCAGCCAAUGGCAGCGACAGGGCGGCUGACAACAUCCACACCCCACCGCGGGGAGAACAUUGAAAAUGAACGGAUGACGAGAAGUGGAGUUUAAACCAAACGAAAAACACAUCAACCUGAUACAGGCCUGCAACCCCCCUCCCGCCCCCAAAAGCACCCAGAACAUUUACAGGGGGAUUCCCACCGUGACACACCGAGCAACCGAGAGACACCACCGGACCUGCGGUGCGCAAACCCGCAAGGAGGAAAAAGGCAGAGAAUAGACAAGUGGCGUCAAGACGAAGAUGUGGAAGAAGAUGAAAGGCUUCUUUAUACCAAGAUUUGGAUCAGAGGACGCGUUUUUGUGGAUCCCUGGAUUUCAUUUAACAACAGCACAGAAGUCUGAGGAGGGAAAGUUUGGGUGUGAGCCUGCAGGAGCUGCAACACAUCCAGGAGUUUGCCAACAGACAAACGGAUGCAAUUAAACGCAUUCGCCUUCAGAUCAUCAAUGAGGAGGCAAAGACAAGGCAUGUGGAGAAGUGACAAGGACAAAUACAAGGCGAGAAAAGACACCGAAGAACUCUUCCUAACACACCCCGGAUAGUUCUCGCUUCUUCUACAAGGACGAACAUUUUUUCAUAUAUUUCAUAUUAAUUGUGCUCAUUUUCAAGAUAUUGUUUUUGUAUCGCUGCCGAAGAAUGAAGCAAAAUUUGUUUACUUUCACAUUUCUGUCUCUCUUCUUGGAUUGAACUUAAUUAAACAGUUAUUUGCCACUAAAUAUGUCCAUGUUGAUAUCACUGUCAAACCGCCGCCCUGCUUCCUCCCCCUCUCUCCCUCUCUCUCCCUUCACCUGGCCGUCAGUAGCCGUCUCCUCUGUGCUGAGGUGUUUGCAUGGCAUGGUAAAACCUGCCCUGCAGACCGGACCUCUCAAGUCUUCAAAGGAGGAAGAACUCAAUG